rnacentral:rRNA from 1 species
AGUGAACGCUGGCGGUAGGCCUAACACAUGCAAGUCGAACGGCAGCACAGUAAGAGCUUGCUCUUACGGGUGGCGAGUGGCGGACGAGUGAGGAAUACAUCGGAAUCUACUUUUUCGUGGGGGAUAACGUAGGGAAACUUACGCUAAUACCGCAUACGACCUACGGGUGAAAGCAGGGGAUCUUCGGACCUUGCGCGAUUGAAUGAGCCGAUGUCGGAUUAGCUAGUUGGCGGGGUAAAGGCCCACCAAGGCGACGAUCCGUAGCUGGUCUGGGAGGAUGAUCAGCCACACUGGAACUGAGACACGGUCCAGACUCCUACGGGAGGCAGCAGUGGGGAAUAUUGGACAAUGGGCGCAAGCCUGAUCCAGCCAUACCGCGUGGGUGAAGAAGGCCUUCGGGUUGUAAAGCCCUUUUGUUGGGAAAGAAAAGCAGCAGGUUAAUACCCCGCUGUUCUGACGGUACCCAAAGAAUAAGCACCGGCUAACUUCGUG